AUAUAGUGUCAUCAGACUCCUCCCACUUCCUCUUUCUUGGUGAUGCCGGUCAGUAGCAGAGUCAACCAUGUAAACUGGAACAUUUUCCGAGGCUUUAACUCGAAAUGAAGUCAACCAUGUAAACGUGAAGUUGAUCGAAAUAACCUGAGAUCUUUACACUAAAAGAGAAGAAGAGAGACUUUGUGAAAGUAUGGUUUCUUGGACAAGAGAAAAAUAUAGUUAUACCCC